GACGAACGCUGGCGGCGUGCUUAAAACAUGCAAGUCGAACGGGGUCCAUGCAGUCGCAAGACUGCGGAAGACCUAGUGGCGAACGGGUGCGUAACACGUGAGGAACCUGCCCCGGAGACCGGGAUAACCCUCCGAAAGGAGAGCUAAUACCGGAUGUCCUCGUCUGAUCGCAUGGUCGGACGAAGAAAUGGAUUCCGCUCCGGGAUGGCCUCGCGGCCUAUCAGCUUGUUGGUGGGGUAACGGCCUACCAAGGCAGCGACGGGUAGCUGGUCUGAGAGGACGAUCAGCCACACUGGGACUGAGACACGGCCCAGACUCCUACGGGAGGCAGCAGUUAGGAAUCUUGCGCAAUGGGCGAAAGCCUGACGCAGCAACGCCGCGUGGGGGAUGAAGGCUCUCGGGUUGUAAACCCCUUUCAGCAGGGAAGAAGCGCAAGUGACGGUACCUGCAGAAGAAGCACCGGCUAACUACGUGCCAGCCGCCGCAGUAAAAC
rnacentral:rRNA from 1 species